CUUAAGGCUGCAGCCAAGAAGGCUUCUGGUGGUGAUGGUGAUGAGGAGGAUGAAGAUUAAAUUUAAAUUAUGAUUUUCUUUUGCUUAGAUCCUUGCUCUAGCCUCUUGAUAUCUGUCCUAGACUUUAGAUUUUCUAUCAUGCAUAUGACUUUUACCAUUUUCCUAUCCUUGUUUAUUGUGCGAGUAAAUCUUUGCUCGAGAGAUGUUCUUUUUGAGCUUUUCUUUUCCAAGUAUAGAGUUUUGCUCCAAUACAUUUGAUGAUCUUUAUGAUAAUUGAACCUUUUACUUAAUGGAGUUUGUAUGAGUAUAUUAUUUAGCAGUUUGAUUUUGCAUAUUUUGAUGGGGUGUGCCUGUGUAUCGAACCAACCAAAACUUCAAUUCAAC
rnacentral:lncRNA from 1 species